CUCUUUUCGGACUCAGCCCGCCUGCACCCAGGUGAAAUAAACAGCCUUGUUGCUCACACAAAACCUGUUUGGUGGUCUCUUCACACGGAUGCGCGUGAAACCCUAUACAUACUGACAGAAUAUAUUUUGCACUACAAAAGAAGAAAUCCAAGCUUGUGAAUUUGGAAGUUUAUGUAGAUAUUGCUCUACACAUACCACUCUCUUCUCUAAAGUAAGCUGAGUUUUCUCUGAGAAGAAAAAGGUGAAGAUCCCUGCCCUCAUUAUGCAAGCACUUGGCACCGGAGAAGAAAAGUUUUAUUGCCCUUUGAAUGGAAGCAGAUGGCUCCAGGUCUGACACUUGGCCUCUGAGCCCAAGCUAAGCCAUCUUAUCCCCUGUGACCUGCACAUACACAUCCAGAUGGCCGGUUCCUGCCUUAACUGAUGACAUUCUACCACAAAAGAAGUGAAAAUGGCCUGUUCCUGCCUUAACUGAUGACAUUGUCUUGUGAAAUUCCUUCUCCUGGCUCAUCCUGGCUCAAAAGCUCCCCCACUGAGUACCUUGUGACCCCCACUCCUGCCCGCCAGAGAACAACCCCCCUUUUUCCUUUACCUACCCAAAUCCUAUAAAAAGGCCCCACCCCAUCUCCC
rnacentral:lncRNA from 1 species